rnacentral:lncRNA from 1 species
GUUCCUCUCGGAGCGGAGACGGCAAAUGGCGGAUUUCGAUACCUACGACGAUCGGGCCUACAGCAGCUUCGGCGGCGGCAGAGGGUCCCGCGGCAGCGCUGGCGCCAUGGUUCCCGUAGCCAGAAGGAGCUGCCCACAGAGCCCCCUACACAGCCUAUGUAGGAAACCUCCCUUUUAAUACAGUUCAGGGUGACAUAGAUGCUAUCUUUAAGGAUCUCAGCAUAAGGAGUGUACGGCUAGUCAGAGACAAAGACACAGACAAGUUCAAAGGUCGGGCUCUGCGGAGCACUCGAGCAGAGGAGUAAGGAAGGUCAGAUGGUCAUUACCUUUUCCGGUGCCCUGGCAGGAAGUGUGCCCAGCCUGGGCACAUGGUGCCUUACACCGUGCAUCCAUGGAAGC